GAUUGUGAAUAAUAUUAAUUGUCAAAUAAAAGUUGUUUAUGAAAGGCGCCAAAAUUUUCAUUGCGUUUGAAAAAUAAUAUUUUAUUUGUAUAUUUCUUUGUAAAUAUAUCAUUUAUUUUAUAAAUAGUUACAAGGUAUUAAGUGUAUAGUGUAAAUUGAAAAUGGGAGGUGUUAAAAAGCGGAAAAAAGACCCUCCUGAUGGACCGCUACUAGAAAACUCUUCGGAUUCUGAUGAAGAUUUAAUCACAAAAUACAAAGACUAUAAGGUUCCAGGAUACACCAGAAAGUACCCGGAAAAUAGCCAGAAAUCGGAAAAUAUCGUAUUUUUAUCACAUUCAGACGAAAGAAAAUCAUUUUCUGACAAAGAUAGGCUAGCCAUUUCCCAUGCCAUUCGCAAGCAUUGCAUCACUGGAAUCCUGCACAUAAAUCUGUCAACAGAUACAAAAUAGCAAUUGACACCGAGGUGACCGGCGUGCUCACCUCCGUCCCCAUGGACCUAUCAAACAAGAGAAUAUCUGCUCUUAUUGGCAGCUCAAGGAAUAUAAUACAAGUUAGGCGUUUCAUGCGUCGUGUAAGGAGAGAGGACGGUGCGGCCUCGUACCAGCCCACUCAGACCGUCGCUGUGACGUUCGCAUCAACAGUUACCUCAGUAUGUAUACCUUGACUCUUGGGAGGCAUGAGGUAAGCGUUUACGUUCCUCCAGUGAAACAAUGUCUGCAUUGCCUGAAGUUUGGUCACAUCGCUAAGUAUUGUAGGAAUGCAGAGGUAUGUUCCAUAUGUGCACAAAAUCACAAUUUUAAAAUGUGUAAAGAAGACAGUAAAAAUGUCAAAUGUGCGAACUGUGGUGGAAAUCAUAUCGCCAUUUCAAAUACAUGCCUGCAGAAAAAACUUAAGAUAGAAGAAAAUAAAAUUAAGUCAAAAGCUA